UUUUAUUGUGUGCUCUGCAUUGUGGGUUGGUUUCCAUGCCAGCUCAUUUUGACUUUUUCCUGACAUCCAGAACGGAUUAUUUGGUUUUCAAUGCAUUCCUAUGGGACACUGCGUUUCGGUUUACAAAUUUUUCGCAAAAAAAGACAACUCUGUUCCGCAGAGUAGCUGUUGACAUUAUAGUUGCGCAGGAACUUUGUUGACUCUAGAGAACCUCGGGCAAAUCGCACCUCCCAGUGGCGGCAACUUUGCAUGCGGAUGUUAUCCAUAUCAACUUUCGAUGCCAGUUUCUGCGCCUACCAUGGUGACCACAGGUAACGGGAAAUCAGGGUACCAUUCCGUACAGGGACCCUGAGAAACGGCUACCACAUGUAAGGAAAGCAGCAGGCGCGCAAUGAUCUACUCCCGACGCGGGAAGGUAGUGACGACA